rnacentral:rRNA from 1 species
CCUACGGGAGGCAGCAGUGGGGAAUAUUGGACAAUGGGGGGAACCCUGAUCCAGCCAUGCCGCGUGUGUGAAGAAGGCCCUCGGGUUGUAAAGCACUUUCAGUGAGGAAGAACGCCUGGUGGUUAAUACCCAUCAGGAAAGACAUCACUCACAGAAGAAGCACCGGCUAACUCCGUGCCAGCAGCCGCGGUAAUACGGAGGGUGCGAGCGUUAAUCGGAAUUACUGGGCGUAAAGCGCGCGUAGGUGGCUUGAUAAGCCGGUUGUGAAAGCCCCGGGCUCAACCUGGGAACGGCAUCCGGAACUGUCAAGCUAGAGUGCAGGAGAGGAAGGUAGAAUUCCCGGUGUAGCUGUGAAAUGCGUAGAGAUCGGGAGGAAUACCAGUGGCGAAGGCGGCCUUCUGGACUGACACUGACACUGAGGUGCGAAAGCGUGGGUAGCAAACAGGAUUAGAUACCCCUGUAGUC